rnacentral:rRNA from 1 species
UUAGUAAGCAGAGGAACCCCAUCAAACUUGGAUUUUGUAAGUAGUUGCGAAUGAACACAAAUUUGAUCACUUUGGCAAUCUGUACACAUUGCUGUGUAACAAUUUGUAUACGUUGGCACAGUGCUAUCAAAGCUGCAUGCAAGUGUUUUUUGAAAGGAUACAACAUGGGAUGUGAUAUUCAUGUGUGUGUGCCUGCUUUGUCCACAGCCUGUGCUGUAUGAAUCACAUUUCUUGCAACUGAAAUGCUAAUGGCAUGGUAAAGUUCAUGUGACAUGACACAAGCUUGAGAUUCAUGAUGUGCAAGUACCAUGAGGGAAAUGUGAAAAGGACUUUGGAAAGAGAAUUAAAUAAAGCCUGCAUUUGCUGACAAUGAAAGCAAGUGUGGAUGUUCAUGUAAUUGUUACUGCAUCAAUCAAUGUUCAUCUUGGUUACUGCAUGCUUUAUAUUACAGCUCAGAACAUGAAGUGUGUGUAACAGCUCUGCUUUGAUUUUUCCCACAUGGGAUCAGUUGAAACAUUGUGAGAGCACUCUUCAGUUUCCUUAUGUACCCACCAGCUUUGUCCACUCGCGUGUUGGCACACAUGUAAUGAUGAUGUGUUUAUGCAAGAUACUUCUGUGCUCAACAACAUGUUGUGUCAAUCCUCACUUACCCG